AUUGAACGCUGGCGGCAGGCCUAACACAUGCAAGUCGAGCGGAUGAAGGGAGCUUGCUCCUGGAUUCAGCGGCGGACGGGUGAGUAAUGCCUAGGAAUCUGCCUGGUAGUGGGGGAUAACGUCCGGAAACGGGCGCUAAUACCGCAUACGUCCUGAGGGAGAAAGUGGGGGAUCUUCGGACCUCACGCUAUCAGAUGAGCCUAGGUCGGAUUAGCUAGUUGGUGGGGUAAAGGCCUACCAAGGCGACGAUCCGUAACUGGUCUGAGAGGAUGAUCAGUCACACUGGAACUGAGACACAGUCCAGGCUCCUACGGGAGGCAGCAGUGGGGAAUAUUGGACAAUGGGCGAAAUCCUGAUCCAGCCAUGCCGCGUGUGUGAAGAAGGUCUUCGGAUUGUAAAACACAUUAAGUUGGGAGGAAGGGCAGUAAGUUAAUACCUUGCUGUUUUGACGUUACCAACAGAAUAAGCACCGGCUAACUUAGUG
rnacentral:rRNA from 1 species